GAAAAGAGCAGCUAACUCGCGAGAGUACGCAAAUCUCAUAAACCGUGGCUCAGUUCAGAUCGUAGGCUGCAACUCGCCUACGUGAAGGAGGAAUCGCUAGUAAUCGCAGGUCAGCAUACUGCGGUGAAUACGUUCCCGGGCCUUGUACACACCGCCCGUCACACCAUGGAAGUUGGCCACGCCCGAAGUCGUUACUCCAACCCUCUGGGAGGAGGACGCCGAAGGUGGGGCUGAUGACUGGGGUGAAGUCGUAACAAGGUAGCCGUACCGGAAGGUGCGGCUGGAUCACCUCCUAAC
rnacentral:rRNA from 1 species